GAUGAACGCUGGCGGCGUGCCUAAUACAUGCAAGUCGAGCGAAUGGAUUAAGAGCUUGCUCUUAUGAAGUUAGCGGCGGACGGGUGAGUAACACGUGGGUAACCUGCCCAUAAGACUGGGAUAACUCCGGGAAACAGGGGCUAAUACCGGAUAACAUUUUGAACCGCAUGGUUCGAAAUUGACAGGCGGCUUCGGCUGUCACUUAUGGAUGGACCCGCGUCGCAUUAGCUAGUUGGUGAGGUAACGGCUCACCAAGGCAACGAUGCGUAGCCGACCUGAGAGGGUGAUCGGCCACACUGGGACUGAGACACGGCCCAGACUCCUACGGGAGGCAGCAGUAGAGAAUCUUCCGCAAUGGACGAAAGUCUGACGGAGCAACGCCGCGUGAGUGAUGAAGGCUUUCGGGUCGUAAAACUCUGUUGUUAGGGAAGAACAAGUGCUAGUUGAAUAAGCUGGCACCUUGACGGUACCUAACCAGAAAGCCACGGCUAACUACGUGCCAGCAGCCGCGGUAA
rnacentral:rRNA from 1 species